GAUGAACGCUGGCGGCGUGCCUAAUACAUGCAAGUCGAGCGAACAGACGAGGAGCUUGCUCCUCUGACGUUAGCGGCGGACGGGUGAGUAACACGUGGAUAACCUACCUAUAAGACUGGGAUAACUUCGGGAAACCGGAGCUAAUACCGGAUAAUAUAUUGAACCGCAUGGUUCAAUAGUGAAAGACGGUUUUGCUGUCACUUAUAGAUGGAUCCGCGCCGCAUUAGCUAGUUGGUAAGGUAAAGGCUUACCAAGGCAACGAUGCGUAGCCGACCUGAGAGGGUGAUCGGCCACACUGGAGCUGAGACACGGUCCAGACUCCUACGGGAGGCAGCAGUAGGGAAUCUUCCGCAAUGGGCGAAAGCCUGACGGAGCAACGCCGCGUGAGUGAUGAAGGUCUUCGGAUCGUAAAACUCUGUUAUUAGGGAAGAACAAAUGUGUAAGUAGCUAUGCACGCCUUGACGGUACCUAAUCAGAAAGCCACGGCUAACUACGUG
rnacentral:rRNA from 1 species